rnacentral:rRNA from 1 species
GUCUGCGUGGAGCCAACCUUGAAAUACCACCCUUUAAUGUUUGAUGUUCUAACGUGGACCCGUAAUCCGGGUUGCGGACAGUGUCUGGUGGGUAGUUUGACUGGGGCGGUCUCCUCCUAAAGAGUAACGGAGGAGCACGAAGGUUGGCUAAUCCUGGUCGGACAUCAGGAGGUUAGUGCAAUGGCAUAAGCCAGCUUGACUGCGAGCGUGACGGCGCGAGCAGGUGCGAAAGCAGGUCAUAGUGAUCCGGUGGUUCUGAAUGGAAGGGCCAUCGCUCAACGGAUAAAAGGUACUCCGGGGAUAACAGGCUGAUACCGCCCAAGAGUUCAUAUCGACGGCGGUGUUUGGCACCUCGAUGUCGGCUCAUCACAUCCUGGGGCUGAAGUAGGUCCCAAGGGUAUGGCUGUUCGCCAUUUAAAGUGGUACGCGAGCUGGGUUUAGAACGUCGUGAGACAGUUCGGUCCCUAUCUGCCGUGGGCGCUGGAGAACUGAGGGGGGCUGCUCCUAGUACGAGAGGACCGGAGUGGACGCAUCACUGGUGUUCGGGUUGUCAUGCCAAUGGCACUGCCCGGUAGCUAAAUGCGGAAGAGAUAAGUGCUGAAAGCAUCUAAGCACGAAACUUGCCCCGAG